rnacentral:rRNA from 1 species
CCUACGGGGGGCAGCAGUGAGGAAUAUUGGUCAAUGGACGAGAGUCUGAACCAGCCAAGUAGCGUGAAGGAUGACUGCCCUAUGGGUUGUAAACUUCUUUUAUAUGGGAAUAAAAUGUUCCACGUGUGGGAUUUUGUAUGUACCAUAUGAAUACGGAUCGGCUAACUCCGUGCCAGCAGCCGCGGUAAUACGGAGGAUCCGAGCGUUAUCCGGAUUUAGUGGGUGUAAAGGGAGCGUAGGUGGAGUGUUAAGUCAGUUGUGAAAGUUUGCGGUUCAACCGUAAGAUUGCAGUUGAAACUGGCAGGCUUGAGUACAGUAGAGGUAGGCGGAAUGCGUGGUGUAGCGGUGAAAUGCGUAGAUAUCACGAAGAACUCCGAUUGCGAAGGCAGCCCACUGGACUGCAACUGACACUGAGGCUCGAAAGUGUGGGUAUCAAACAGGAUUAGAUACCCGGGUAGUC